rnacentral:snRNA from 1 species
GUGCUCGCUUCGGCAGCACAUAUACUAAAAUUGGAACGAUACAGAGCAUGGCCCCUGCACAAGGAUGACAUGCAAAUUUGUGAAGCGUUCCAUAUUAAA